rnacentral:rRNA from 1 species
AUGCGGGAACUCUCGUUUCUGUCUCUUACACGCAAUCAAUUGGUAGGUAAUAUUCCAGCUUCGCUUGGCAACUUAUCCAAAUUGUCUGUCCUAACUUUGCCAGGUAAUCAAUUGUCGGGACAAGUACCAGCAACAUUAGGGAAACUUGCAGCUUUGACCGUGCUUGAAUUGUCAAGUAACAAUUUAGAGGGGAAUCUAGACUUCCUUUCGAGUCUUUCCCAGUGCAGGCAACUCUGGUUCCUCGGUAUACAUAAUAAUUCUUUCAGAGGAGUCCUCCAUGGCCAUGUGGGAAACCUCACUUCACGGUUGACCAUUUUUCGAGCAGGUUAUAACAAAUUAACAGGUGGAAUUCCUGCAGCAAUUUCAAACAUUAGCAGCCUUGAACUGAUAGAUCUUCGUGACAACCUAUUCACCGAGCCGAUUCCCGAUUCCAUCGCUAUGUUAGAGAAUCUUGUAGAUCUUGAUCUCUCACACAAUGACAUGUUAGGCCCUAUCCCAGCACAAAUGGGUAUGCUUCGGAGUCUAGGACAGUUACUCCUUGAAGCAAACAAAUUCUCAGGAUCCAUACCAAGCAGCUUUGAUAAUCUUAGUUUCUUACAAAACAUCGACUUGUCUAAUAACAAGUUGGGGUCAACGAUACCCCCAAGCCUUUUCCGCCUAAAUAAACUUAUCACAUUGGAUGUUUCUCACAAUUCCAUUGAUGGUGCACUACCAGAUGAUGUUUCUGGUCUAAGACAGAUUGAUCAAAUUGAUCUCUCUUCGAACUUCUUGGUAGGAAGCAUCCCAGAAUCAUUUGGACAACUUGAUAUGCUAACGUACGUAAAUCUAUCUCAUAACUCCUUCAAAGGCUCAAUUCCCGACCCACUGAGAAAACUAGGAAGCUUAGCAUCAUUAGACCUUUCAUUCAACAAUCUCUCUGGUAUCAUUCCCAUGUUCCUUGCCAACUUUACCUACUUGACUACCUUGAACCUCUCAUUCAAUAGGUUAGAAGGCCAAAUACCCAAGGGGGGUGUUUUCUCAAACAUCACCUUGCAAUCUUUGAUUGGGAAUGCUGGGCUAUGUGGUGCUCAACGCCUAGGAGUGCCGCCAUGCCUUGAUAGAUCUAGAUCAAGUAACAAACACUUGCUAAAAAUUCUACUUCCAACACUCAUAUUAGCCUCUAGUGCCAUUGUCAUUUGCUUGUAUCUAUGGUUCGGAAAAAAACUAAAGAAGGAGAAGAACAAUGCUUCUGUUGAUACAAGCAAUGUUCCGGGUCACGAGAUAAUCUCCUAUCAUGAGCUCAUUCGCGCCACCAAUAAUUUCAGUGAAGAUAACAUUUUGGGUUCCGGAAGCUUUGGGAAAGUCUUCAUGGGAAGACUGAGCAGUGGUUUGGUGGUUGCGAUAAAAGUUCUUGACAUGCAGCUCGAGCAGGCCAUUCGAAGUUUUGAUGUUGAGUGUCGAGUACUUCACAUGGCGCGGCACCGUAACCUGAUCAAGAUACUCAACGCGUGCUCUAACCUUGACUUUAGAGCACUGGUGCUUCAAUACAUGCCAAAUGGCAGCUUAGAGACACUCCUACACCGGUCUGAGGGUACACGACAUGUGGGGUUCCUAGAGAGACUGGACAUCAUGCUCGACGUGUCAAUGGCACUUGAGUAUCUGCACCAUGAUCACUAUGAGCUGAUCCUGCACUGUGACUUGAAGCCUAGCAAUGUGUUGUUUGAUGAGGAGAUGACUGCACAUGUGGCAGACUUCGGCAUUGCAAGGUGGCUUCUCGGUGAUGACACCUCUAUGAUAUGUACGAGCAUGCCCGAAACGGUUGGAUACAUGGCACCAGAGUACGGUUCACUCGGAAAAGCAUCACGGAAGAGCGACGUGUUUAGUUACGGGAUUAUGCUUCUUGAAGUCUUUACUAGAAGGAAGCCAACUGACGCCAUGUUUGAUGCACAGCUAACCUUUAGGCAAUGGGUUUGUCAGGCAUUUCCUGCAGAGCUUGUCCAAAUCAUCGAUGGUCAGCUACUGCAAGGCUCCCCUCUUUCUAGCUGCAGUUUGGAAAAUGGCUCUCUUGCAUCUGUGCUCGAGUUGGGUUUGCUCUGUUGCAGCGACUCGCCUGACCAAAGAACAACGAUGCGUGAUGUGGUCGUGACGUUGAAGAAGAUCAAAGCUGAAUACAUCAAACAGACAGCAACAACAUCACGUAGUGCAACACAAUGA